rnacentral:rRNA from 1 species
GAUAAACGCUGGCGGCGUGCAUAACACAUUCAAGUCGAACGGAUGUAAAGGGGCUUGCUCCUUUACAUUAGUGGCGGACGGGUGAGUAACGCGUGAGCAACCUGCCUUCGUGAGGGGGAUAACACAGGGAAACCUGUGCUAAUACCGCAUAACGUAUUUCUGACGCAUGUCGGGGAUACCAAAGGAGCAAUCCGCACGAAGAUGGGCUCGCGUCUGAUUAGGCAGUUGGUGAGGUAACGGCUCACCAAACCGACGAUCAGUAGCCGGACUGAGAGGUUGAACGGCCACAUUGGAACUGAGAUACGGUCCAGACUCCUACGGGAGGCAGCAGUGGGGAAUAUUGGGCAAUGGGGGAAACCCUGACCCAGCGACGCCGCGUGAGGGAAGAAGGUCUUCGGAUUGUAAACCUUUGUCAACAGGGACGAAACAAAUGACGGUACCUGAAGAGGAAGCCACGGCUAACUACGUG